GGUGUGGCUGCAGAGCGCCGAGUUUAAAGAGUGGCUCCGCAAAGAUAUUGCGGAUUCCACAAGGGCUUACUGCAGCUACUGCAAGUGCGGGUUAAUUGCAAAGCUUUGCGACCUGCGUGCCCACGCGGCAACCAAAAAACAUAAGGGUGCACUAAGUGGCUUUGCACAAAAAGAAAAAAUUGAUUUUGGGCAAACGCCAACAAAAACGAUUGAGCAAGAUGUUGCACAACAACAAAGCACACUGCAAUUGCUCCCAUCGACCAUCUAGGCACCCUUUGCAAAACAAAAUUUUGCAUCGCACUAAAUGUACAUACAUUAUUAAAAAUGUAUUGGCUCCUCAUUUUCGUGAGGACCUCAGAAACGACGUUGGAAACGCUAAAUUUAGUUUGAUUUACCAGGUAAACUUGGUAAAACCAAAAUUAAGGAAUGGAAUGAAUUUAAAUACGCUUAACUCCAUUUUAAGCGAAAGAUACGGGCUAAAUCGCAAAAACAAAUGCUGUUUUGAGUAUUCAUUGCCUCAAAAAUGGUUGCGAGCAGUAGGCAACCAAAUUUAUUACCCUGACCAAGAGGCAGUGAGCUUAAAUGAACUGAUCGAGUUAUAGAAGAGAAUUAUAGAUAGAAUAUAGAAUUGAACAUUUUCAAUUUUAA